AGUCUGGGCGCUGGAGCGGUGGGAGCAGCGCUCGUCCGCCGUUGGGGCCCCCAGCCCGCGCGCGUGAAGCAGCUAGCCGACCAAGCCCCGGAAGGCGAGUGCCGGAGGGGGCGGGACAGCUCCUCCGGGGCCAGCGGGCACCAGGCUUGGGGGCUGAGGCCCAGCGGCCCGAGACCAACUGGGCUGACCGAGGCCGCCUCCCCGCCAGCCCUGGGGUCCACUGCCCGGGGAGCAGCUCCCUUCCCAGGUCAGACUCGGGCUUCAUCCUCUCUUGCCGCGCGCCGAGCGGUUUUCAACUCUCACUGCUAGAAUUCCUCCAACCACCCAGGAUAGCAGGACCGAGAUACAUGGCCACCCAUGACCCGGAGCGUCCACUUCCAGGGACAGGCAGUGGUGAUUGGCUUCGGUUGUCAUCUGUGCCAUCUGUCCAUGGUUCGAGAAGCUGCUGUUCACGUUUUGGGGAGGAUCAUGGUUUGAGGGCUCCCGUGGUAGAAUUUGGGGAGCUCUCAUAGGCAGAAGGCUGAGAAAAGUUGGUGCUGUGGGAAGUCAACUGGCAGCCGAUGGAGUCGGGACCCGGGAGGAAUGGAAAGGGAACCCAGAUAGGAAGCUACUGCAGUAGGCUCAGAGAGGUGAUGACGGCAGGGCUAAGACAGCGGCCUUGGGCGGUGACUGGGAAGAACGUUGAACACCGUGUUUGGGCUGAAGAAAAGAGCAAGGGAAGAGUUACAGGGCUUUGACUCCUGAGUCUGAAAAAGGCACAGAUUCCUGCUAAAUCUUGAACACUGACGCCAGUCAAAGCCUCAUCUUCAGACCUGGGAGAAGGUGACAAUCGAAAUGAAAUGCUUUCAUGAGACGCAGGGCCAGUAAUUACAAGUAUUCAAUCCCCCUAGGCCCAGGGACUAUCGCGGAAGAGGUGGGCGUGUGAGAUUGUAAGGGCCAACUUUGAGGGAUAAAAUUAGAGUUUUUUUGUAAACAUUAAUAUCAAAGGCACACUGAGGCCAGGCAAGCGUCUGGCCCCUGUGUCGGAAUAACAAUUUUCCUGGACCACUGAUCUACUCUUUAAUAGAAGAUUGUAAAAGGUUAUACAAGGCGUAUGGAAAUCUUACUUCGUGGUCAAACUGAUUAAAAUUAGAUUUGUUUAUAAGGUUUUAUUAGCUUUAACAUUAAUAAUACCCCUAAAACAUUAAUAAGAGAUCAAAGAUUUUUGUUUACCUUUUAAGUAAACUACAGGAAAAAAAAAGGAGAGAGACAGACAUUUAGUUGGUUUCCUGCUGUCUUCAUUGGAUCUUACAGUUGGGGAAACUGAGUCUCCUUCAUAUCAAUGAGUAAAGGUCUUUGGUGUUUUGGUUUUUUGUUUUUUUGGAAAUCUUUGAAUUAUCGUUUUGGCUAAAUGAAUAACUAUUUUAUAAUGAACCGUGAUCCUAUUUUGUGGCAUCAAAUGUUUUAAACUUUUGAUAUUCGACUGAUGAACUUCCCAACAUCAAGAUUUCAACUUCUGGCCGGCUACAGUGGCUCAUGUCUAUAAUCCCAGCACUUUGGGAGGCUGAGACCAGGCAGGCAGAUCAUUUGAGUUCAGGAAUUUGAGAUUAGCCUGGCUAAAAUGGUGAAACUCCACCUCUACUAAAACUACAAAAAUUAGCCAGGUGUGGUGGUGUGUGCCUGUAAUCCCAGCUACUAGAGAAUCACUUGAACCUGAGAGGCGGAGGUUGCAGUGAGCUGAGAUUGCACCACUGCUCUCCAGCCUGGGUGACAGAGCAAAACUCUGUCUAAAACAAACAAACAAAAAAAUCAAGUUGUAAAUUCAGUCUCUUUGACCUUAAGCUAACUUAAAAAAAGGCUGGCCAUGGUGGCUCACACCUGUAAUUCUAGCACUUUGGGAGGCCAAGGUGGGUGGAUCACUUGAGGUCAGAAGUUUGAGACCAGCCUGGCCAACAAGGUGAAACCCCGUCUCUACUAAGAAUACAAAAAUUAGCCGGAAAUCACUUGAACCCAGGAGGUGGUGGUUGCAGUGAGCUGAGAUUGUGCCACUGCACUCCAGCAACAGAGCGAGACUGUCUCAAAAAAAAGAAAAAUUAAUGGUGGAUGCAGUGGCUCACACCUGUAAUUCCAGCACUUUGAUAGGAUGAGGUGGGCAGAUCACUUGAGCUCAGGAGUUUGAGACCAGUCUGGACAACAUAGUGAGACCUCGUCUCUACAAAAAAAAAAAAAAAAAAAAAACCAACCAAACAAAAAACCCAACAACAAAAAACAUGAAAAUCUGGGCAGGGUGGCAUGUGCCUGUAGUGCCAGCCACUCUGGAGACUGAGAUGGGAGGAUUGCUUGAGCCCAGGAGAUCAAGGCUGCAGUGAGCUGUGCUGUGAUUGCACCACAGCACUCCAGCCUGGGCUACAGAGUUUUGGAGACCCUGUCUCCAAUAACAACAACAAACAAAAAAUAAUAUAUAUUUUUAAAAGAUAUUAGGUCCUCUGGCCGGGCGCGGUGGCUCCUGUAAUCCCAGCACUUUGGGAGGCCAAGGCGGGUGGAUCACAAGGUCAGGAGAUCGAGACCAUCCUGGCUAACACAGUGAAACCCCGUCUCUACUAAAAAAAUACAAAAAAUUAGCUGGGUGUGGUCACGGGCGCCUGUAGUCCCAGCUACUCGGGAGGCUGAGGCGGGAGAAUGGUGUGAACCCGGGAGGUGGAGUUUGCAGUGAGCCUCCAGCCUGGGCGACAGAGCGAGACUCUGUCUCAAAAAAAAAAAAAAAGAU
rnacentral:lncRNA from 1 species